GCGGUAAUUCCAGCUCUGUAAGCGUAUACCCAAGUUGUUGCAGUUAAAACGCUCGUAGUCGGAAUUUGGUGGGCGAGCCGGGGCGUCUUCGCGGACGGACCUGGGUUCGGCCGCCUUUGUGGAGGGGGGCGCGGAUCCGCUUGAUUGUGGGUUCGUUGUCGCUGCCACCGUUUACUGUGAAAAAAUUAGAGUGUUCAAAGCGGGCGUUUGCCAUGAAUACCUUAGCAUGGAAUAAUAGAAUAGGACCUGUGUGCCUGUUUUAUUGGUUUGUGAGGACCGGGUAAUGAUUAAGAGGGACGGUUGGGGGCAUUUGUAUUCCGGCGUCAGAGGUGAAAUUCUUGGAUU
rnacentral:rRNA from 1 species